rnacentral:rRNA from 1 species
UACGAGGGGGGGCAAGCGUUGUUCGGAAUUAUUGGGCGUAAAGGGUGCGUAGGCGGUCUGACAAGUCCGCUCUGAAAGUCCGGGGCUCAACCCCGGGAGGCGGGCGGAUACUGUCGGGCUAGAGUCCGGAAGAGGCGAGUGGAAUUCCUGGUGUAGCGGUGAAAUGCGCAGAUAUCAGGAGGAACACCGAUGGCGAAGGCAGCUCGCUGGGACGGUACUGACGCUGAGGCGCGAAAGCGUGGGGAGCAAACAGG